rnacentral:rRNA from 1 species
AUUGAACGCUGGCGGCAGGCCUAACACAUGCAAGUCGAACGAGUGGCGGACGGGUGAGUAAUGUCUGGGAAACUGCCUGAUGGAGGGGGAUAACUACUGGAAACGGUAGCUAAUACCGCAUACCAUCAGAUGUGCCCAGAUGGGAUUAGCUAGGUGGUGGGGUAACGGAUCACCAAGGCGACGAUCCCUAGCUGGUCUGCGAGGAUGACCAGCCCAACUGGAACUGAGACACGGGCCAGACUCCGCCGGUAGGAAGCAGUGGGGAAGAUUGCACAAUGGGCGCAAGCCUGAUGCAGCCAUGCCGCGUGUAUGAAGAAGGCCUGCGGGUUGUAAAGUACUUUCAGCGGGGAGGCGUUACCCGCAGAAGAAGCACCGGCUAACUCCGUGCCAGCAGCCGCGGUAAUUC